GUAGGUGGCAAGCGUUGUCCGGAAUUAUUGGGCGUAAAGCGCGCGCAGGCGGUUCUUUAAGUCUGAUGUGAAAGCCCACGGGCUCAACCGUGGAGGGUCAUUGGAAACUGGAGAACUUGAGUACAGAAGAGGAAAGCGGAAUUCCACGUGUAGCGGUGAAAUGCGUAGAGAUGUGGAGGAACACCAGUGGCGAAGGCGGCUUUCUGGUCUGUAACUGACGCUGAGGCGCGAAAGCGUGGGGAGCAAACAGGAUUAGAUACCCUGGUAGUCCACGCCGUAAACGAUGAGUGCUAAGUGUUAGGGGGGUUUCCGCCCCUUAGUGCUGCAGCUAACGCAUUAAGCACUCCGCCUGGGGAGUACGGCCGCACGGCUG
rnacentral:rRNA from 1 species